rnacentral:lncRNA from 1 species
UCCAGUUCUUCAUCAUAUUUCGGAGCUUCGUUGUCUAUAAAAUUUGGUGGAGCUUCAAAUACUAGGAAUAUAUAUUCCCAGAAAUUCAUCAUUUGUCAAGUUAUUACUUAUAUUACUGCCAGUGCUUACCAGAUAAUUGAUCAUUAGUGUUAAUAUUUUCUACAUGUCACCAGCUGGUCUCAAUGAAUGUUACAAGCAAUACAUAACAGAGAAGGAACUUGAAGAUGAUACAUAUAAAGAUGGAC